GCCUGGGCCGUCGUUGGGCAGCAUUCGGUGGGGUUAUCCCGACCUUUCUUCCUUCUCGCGUUCUCUUACGACAGCUCCCGACCGCCUUCCUCUCUCGCGAUUUCUCCUGCUCCUCGGACUGCAGCCCCUCUCUGCCUCUUCCUCCGUCCCUGCGCUUAUCUUCCUCUUCCGAUUGCUCUGCUCGUAUGCAGGUCCUGUGCCUGUUCGCGUUGUCUGGGGAGUAGCGUCCUUCUUCUCCAGGUCGCCCCUGCUGCCUCCCCAGUUACGCCGUAGCGUCCUCGCCUCCUUCACAAUCUGGUCUCACUGGAGGCCGCGAAGACGCCGGCGGGGGCGGGAUCCCUAUUCAGCCUCCCGGACCGCCGUCCUGAACCCGUGAAUCCCGAGAGAAAUGGCGGCCCUCCCUAACCUAGCGGCGGCUCCCAGACUGCCGUCCAUCUCCUCCCUCCUCUUCCUCCACGCGCUCAGGUCACCACAGUAGCUGGGCGCCGGCCGCGAUUCGAGACGCUGGGCGUCUGCUUCCAAUUUCUCCCGCGAGAUCGAGUUCUGGAUCCGCUGCUGCUCGGCUUCUUCGGCUACCUCCCAAGCAUCAUCUACGCCGUCUGGGGGACUGGGUCAUCACCAAGUAGAACCAUUACGGCUCCUCUUCCUGUAUAUGCAUGUUUCAGGAAUUUGGGAAAUUUAACCAGCUAAGCUGAUCCAUGUCUCUUGCUUUAGAAUGAUUAUACAGAGCUGCAUAUAAAAGGUAAUAUUAUUUUACCAUUACAUAGGCUUAUGGACUAGAGGUUUUCCAUCAUGCACUGGGAAACAUUUCAAUCCCACCAAAUACGACGGUAACGAGGCCUCCUCGCUGGAACAAUGCACCUUUGGCAUAAUCAUGGCUGCCUUCCUGUGGAUGCGCCUCUUUUUCAAUCCUUGCAUCCAUAAUAUUAUUUGUGCCUAAUUAGUUCUUAUUUGUCUCAACUAGGUUUUGUGAGGCCUGGAGAUGCACACUCCACAUCAGAUUCAAAGUUGAGCACUGCUUAUUUCCUAGAGACUGGAACAUCUCUUCUGAUAACAAGGUACUAGGAAAUUAGUACUUUCUAUUGCAGCUAUUGUCAACGAUUUUCAUUUUUACUUCUGGAAUGAUAAAUGAUGUGCAUAAGCUUCAAAACUUUCGAUGGAGAGGGAGGGAGGGAGCACAAGAAGCUUUGUGAUUUGUUCUAUAGAUGUUUCGAAGGAGAAGAUUGUGCCCCUCAAGGUUGACCAUAUAUGCAGUUUGGGAUCAUUUCUUGUGGCUAUGUGAUUACAUGUAGAUUUAUGGUGGAAUAUCUAGAUCAAGUAAAUUGUGAUGUUCAAACGAACGGGCCAACACUACAGAGCUUAGUGCUAGGACUGAUUUGUGUUCAAGUAUUGUCGUACCUCUUGGUUUGUGUUCUUGAAGUACAUAGCAGCAAGAAUAAUUCGGUUGGAUGUGUAAGAACUCAAAGUUUAUGUACAAAUAAAUGUAGUCGAGUAACAGUGACAGUGAGUUCGUACA